rnacentral:tRNA from 2 species
GGAGAGGUGGCAGAGUGGCCGAAUGCGACAGCUUGCUAAGCUGUUGUGUCCAUAAUGGGCACCGAGGGUUCGAAUCCCUCCCUCUCCGCCA